CAUUCGUAAAUUGACAAGCAAUAUAACAAUCUGGUGGGGUAAUUUGCCUCGUGAGCCAUUGAGAGGUACUAAUGAGGAUUAAGGCAUCCGAGAAAAAAUGUGGCUGCUUUUACUGGCGUUCUCUGUCUCCUUGAAGCAGCUUUGGAGCAUACGCUUGAAGGAAGUGAAAUUGGAAGCAAUUGAGAAGACGUUAGCAGAUUAUACAUACGAAGCCUCUUUUUAAGAGUUCCGUUUUACUUUCAACCAAACCUCCUAUCCAGGGGUGGAGCUACAUACUUCGAAGUAUACUUUUUUUUGUGUAAAUACUUAUAAUAAUAAGUGGAUGGUUUAUUGAUUAAUAAA